CUUCCUGCUGCCUUCUGAUCAAGAGGUAGUCAGCACCAUGUCUGCCUGUAACUCAAUGUCAUGACGAUGAAGAAUUGAAUCCCUGAACUUACCUUGAGACUUUUCAAGUAUUUCCACAAAAACUUCAAGGGACAGGUGCAGCAGAGACGGCUCAGCAGUUAACAGCACUGGGAAUUCUGAUGCCCAGCACCCAGAACAUGGCUAACAACCUCCAGUCCAUGGAAACCGAUACCUGUUACUCUUCUGGGCUCCAAUGACACCAGAGCCACUGGUGCAGGGAGCAACCUACUGAAGAGUAAGGAAAUGGAACUUGACCUUGGAUUCCUACUUCCUGGGUGUCAGGAGCAGUGAGGAUUCGUGUCCCUCUACUGAACCAACUGUAGACUUUCUCAGCACAGAGCAUUCUGUCAUCUUCAAAGGGGAAUAAGCGGUCCAUCGUGUGCUAUUUUGAGUGAAGAAGAGCAGCCUUCCCUGAUGUCCCUUGCCUCCAGGUAAGGCAGGCAUUAGAAGUGUGUAAAGAGAAGCCCGUGCGGUUAGGGAGGAACGCUUCUGCCCAAGGAUUAUCCAGCAGCUUUGCUUUGCACGCAGUGCGAAAUUCAACACGACUUCCGAACCCUCGCCCUUCUAGUUGUAGGAGUUCAUCCUACAACUCUACUUCCUGUGACUUAAGGGACAGCGCGUUGUUUCACUAGACAGCAGGAUGACUAGGUACAGAGGUCUGGUGUGCGAGUUGGGGAAUACAGUACAAAUUGACACGAGCGCAGACGAAGAGUCAGCAGCAUGGGCAAGCAGAUGCCUGACUGCCAGGUGGACAGCUGCAGCACCCUCUCUCGGAACUUCCCCUGCAGACUUGCCUGACUACUGGCUUCCAAGUCGCCUUAAGGAGAAAGCCUGAAAUACCCAUGAGCUAGCUGGCCUAGCCGCUUUUUUGUUUGUUUGUUUGUUUGUUUGUUUGUUUGUGGCUGGUUUUUAAAACUCAGUAACACCCUGCAUGCUCCGAGCUAGCGAAAUGUAGCAUAUUUUUUCAUUGGAAAUUUUUAUAAAAAUGAGUACAAUCUUGCGAAGGUGAGCCACCACUCAAUAAAGAGACACCAACACGACAAUAGCCCACUUUCUAAAAGUCUAAAGAAAGCAAAACCCAGAGCAACGGCACACUACGCCACGCCCUCUUGGGGGCGGGAUCAAGGAAUGCGCCUGCGCAUUGCGCCCAUGCUGGCCUCUCCGACCUACAACAGCUAAAAAAAAAAACCACUGCGUGGACUGGCUCUCCAGCUACCUCCUGCUGCACAGUUAACCCGAGGUUCGCUGCUCUCCGAACCCUAUUCUACACACACCCAGCGAUGUCGUCCUGCAACCGCGUGGCGCUGGUGACCGGGGCUAACAAAGGCAUAGGCUUCGCAAUCACGCGUGACCUCUGUCGGAAGUUCUCGGGGGACGUGGUGCUCACCGCCCGGGACCAGGCAAGGGGCAAGGCCGCGGUGCAGCAGCUGCAGGCAGAGGGCCUGAGCCCGCGCUUCCACCAGCUGGACAUCGACGA